AGCCAGAGCCCACUCUCUGCCAGAAGAACCUCCAGCCUUUUCAGAAGGGGCAAACGUGGGUGAGGAGGAUUCCUGAGUGGCCUAGGAUUAGGGGACAAGACGAGAGCUUCGACUUGUCUUGGACCCCUGGACAGCUCAGCCCCAGGGCAGGAAGAAGACUGGAAGCUCCCUGCGACCAAUCGAAUCAGUAUUUCCCGGGCUUCCUGAAGAGGCAGCUCCCCGGACCCGUCUUCCCUGCACCAGCUUCCCGUGUUGAUGCCUUAUCUCAAAGGGAAGGAGGGGGAGUUCGUUUUGAACUCAUCCCUCUUCCCCAGCUCCCCGCUGCAGGACUGUAGGGCCUGGAGUCCAGAAGGAAAGGACUGGGGGACAGAUCCCCGAGUGUGGGGAGGUGGUCUCUCUGGAACCCGGCGCAGGCGGGGCUUCAGGGGCACCCAUGUUCUCCUGCUCUUAGUGCAAGGUCGCAUCGGGGUCCCCCAGCUAAUCAGCCGCGCCUGCGGGAUCUUGACUUCUCCAGAAGGUGGAGAAGGCAUGAAUUUUUAAAUUCCCCUCCCCGACCAAAUGGGGUGAGAUUACGCCAGGCCAAACCGUCUCUUCAAAAAUUAAAAUUGGGAACGAUUCCAUUCCAACUCAAAUGGCCGAGCAGAGAAUAUUGCAAAAACUUUUCCAAGUUGCGCAAAAAAAACGGUUCCACUCCCGGCUCCCGCCAAGCCUCCUGAAAUUGACUGCAAGGUUUUGCACGUCCCUAAACGGCAUUUUUCCAGGCAGACGGUCCAUAGCUCUUACUAGAUUUUCAAAGAGCUACGAGGUGCCCACCACAACCACCACCAAAUGGGUGAAAAGGUUAAGGACCCUUACAAAGCUGGGCUCACUGAGAUUGAGAAGACUGGAGUGCUUGACUUAGGUUCACAGAACUGGUUAGAAG